AACGAACGCUGGCGGCAUGCUUUACACAUGCAAGUCGAACGGUAACAGGGAGCUUGCUCCGCUGACGAGUGGCGAACGGGUGAGUAAUGCGUCGGAACGUGCCGAGUAGUGGGGGAUAACGCAUCGAAAGGUGUGCUAAUACCGCAUACGUACUGAGGUAGAAAGUGGGGGACCUUCGGGCCUCACGCUAUUCGAGCGGCCGACGUCUGAUUAGCUAGUUGGUGAGGUAAAGGCUCACCAAGGCGACGAUCAGUAGCGGGUCUGAGAGGAUGAUCCGCCACACUGGGACUGAGACACGGCCCAGACUCCUACGGGAGGCAGCAGUGGGGAAUUUUGGACAAUGGGCGCAAGCCUGAUCCAGCCAUGCCGCGUGUCUGAAGAAGGCCUUAUGGUUGUAAAGCACUUUAAGCGAGGAGGAGGCUACCUAGAUUAAUACUCUAGGAUAGUGGACGUUACUCGCAGAAUAAGCACCGGCUAACUCUGUGCCAGCAGCCGCGGUAAUAC
rnacentral:rRNA from 1 species